AGCGAACGCUGGCGGCAGGCUUAACACAUGCAAGUCGAACGCCCCGCAAGGGGAGUGGCAGACGGGUGAGUAACACGUGGGAACGUACCCUUUGGUUCGGAAUAACUUGGGGAAACUCAAGCUAAUACCGGAUAAGCCCUUAUGGGGAAAGGUUUACUGCCGAAUGAUCGGCCCGCGUCUGAUUGGGUCGUUGGUGAGGUAAUGGCUCACCAAGGCGACGAUCAGUAGCUGGUCUGAGAGGAUGAUCAGCCACACUGGGACUGAGACACGGCCCAGACGCCUAGGGGAGGCAGAGGUGGGGAAUAUUGGACGAGGGGGGCAAGCCUGAUCCGGCCAUGCGGCGUGAGUGAUGAAGGCCUUAGGGUUGUAAAGCUCUUUUACCCGGGACGAUAAUGACUGUACCGGGAGAAUAAGACCCGGCUAACUUCGUGCCAGCCGCCGCGGUAA
rnacentral:rRNA from 1 species